GACGAACGCUGGCGGCGUGCUUAACACAUGCAAGUCGAACGGAAAGGCCCUGCUUUUGUGGGGUGCUCGAGUGGCGAACGGGUGAGUAACACGUGAGUAACCUGCCCUUGACUUUGGGAUAACUUCAGGAAACUGGGGCUAAUACCGGAUAGGAGCUCCUGCUGCAUGGUGGGGGUUGGAAAGUUUCGGCGGUUGGGGAUGGACUCGCGGCUUAUGAGCUUGUUGGUGGGGUAGUGGCUUACCAAGGCUUUGAAGGGUAGCCGGCCUGAGAGGGUGACCGGCCACAUUGGGACUGAGAUACGGCCCAGACUCCUACGGGAGGCAGCAGUGGGGAAUAUUGCACAAUGGGCGGAAGCCUGAUGCAGCAACGCCGCGUGCGGGAUGACGGCCUUCGGGUUGUAAACCACUUUCGCCUGUGACGAAGCGUGAGUGACGGUAAUGGGUAAAGAAGCACCGGCUAACUACGUG
rnacentral:rRNA from 1 species